GCUCAAAUUUGAAAUCUGGCCCUCGGGUCCCAAUUGUAAUUUGUAGAGGAUGAUUUUGGUGCGGUAUCUUCCGAGUUCCUUGGAACAGGACGCCUUAGAGGGUGAGAGCCCCGUACGGUUGAAUGCCUAGCCUCUGUAAAUCUCCUUCGACGAGUCGAGUAGUUUGGGAAUGCUGCUCUAAAUGGGAGGUAAAUUUCUUCUAAAGCUAAAUAUUGGCCAGAGACCGAUAGCGCACAAGUAGAGUGAUCGAAAGAUGAAAAGCACUUUGAAAAGAGGGUUAAAUAGCACGUGAAAUUGUUGAAAGGGAAGGAUUUGUGACCAGACUUUUUCUGGGCGGAUCAUCCGGGGUUCUCUCCGGUGCACUUUGCCCAGUAAAGGCCAGCAUCGAUUUUCGGCGGCGGAUAAAAGCAGUGGGAAUGUGGCUCCCUACGGGGAGUGUUAUAGCCCAUUGUAUAAUACGCUGCUGGGGAUCGAGGUACGCGCUUCUGCAAGGAUGCUGGCGUAAUGGUUAUCAAUCACCCGUCUUGAAACACGGACCAAGGAGUCGAACAUUUAUGCGAGUGUUUGGGUGUUAAACCCUCACGCGUAAUGAAAGUGAACGGAGGUGAGAGCCCGUACGGGUGCAUCAUCGACCGAUCCUGAAGUUUUCGGAUGGAUUUGAGUAAGAGCAUAACUGUUCGGACCCGAAAGAUGGUGAACUAUGCGUGGAUAGGGUGAAGCCAGAGGAAACUCUGGUGGAGGCUCGCAGCGGUUCUGACGUGCAAAUCGAUCGUCAAAUCUGCGCAUGGGGGCGAAAGACUAAUCGAACCAUCUAGUAGCUGGUUACCGCCGAAG
rnacentral:rRNA from 1 species